rnacentral:rRNA from 1 species
UACGUAGGGGGCAAGCGUUGUCCGGAUUUAUUGGGCGUAAAGAGCGUGUAGGCGGUUAGGUAGGUCCGUUGUGAAAACUCGAGGCUCAACCUCGAGACGCCGAUGGAAACCAUCUGACUAGAGUCCGGAAGAGGAGAGUGGAAUUCCUGGUGUAGCGGUGAAAUGCGCAGAUAUCAGGAAGAACACCCGUGGCUAAGGCGGCUCUCUAGUACGUGACUGACGCUGAGACGCGAAAGCGUGGGGAGCAAACGGG